rnacentral:rRNA from 1 species
CUACGGGAUGCUCCAGUGAGGAAUAUUGCACAAUGGGGGGAACCCUGAUGCAGCAACGCCGCGUGGAGGAUGACGCAUUUCGGUGUGUAAACUCCUUUUAUAUGUCAAGAAAAUGACGGUAGCAUAUGAAUUAGCACCGGCUAACUCCGUGCCAGCAGCCGCGGUAAUACGGAGGGUGCAAGCGUUACUCGGAAUCACUGGGCGUAAAGGACGCGUAGGCGGGUUGGAAAGUCAGGUGUGAAAUCCUACAGCUUAACUGUAGAACUGCACUUGAAACUUCUAAUCUAGAGUAUGGGAGGGGGAGAUGGAAUUAGUGGUGUAGGGGUAAAAUCCGUAGAUAUAACUAGGAAUACCUAAAGCGAAGGCGAUCUCCUGGAACAUUACUGACGCUAAGGCGUGAAAGCGUGGGGAGCAAACAGGAUUAGAUACCCUCGUAGUC